rnacentral:rRNA from 1 species
GACGAACGCUGGCGGCGUGCCUAAUACAUGCAAGUCGAGCGGACUUUUAAAAGCUUGCUUUUAAAAGUUAGCGGCGGACGGGUGAGUAACACGUGGGCAACCUGCCUGUAAGACUGGGAUGACUUCGGGAAACCGGAGCUAAUACCGGAUACGUUCUUUUCUCGCAUGAGAGAAGAUGGAAAGACGGUUUCGGCUGUCACUUACAGAUGGGCCCGCGGCGCAUUAGCUAGUUGGUGGGGUAAUGGCCCACCAAGGCGACGAUGCGUAGCCGACCUGAGAGGGUGAUCGGCCACACUGGGACUGAGACACGGCCCAGACUCCUACGGGAGGCAGCAGUAGGGAAUCUUCCGCAAUGGACGAAAGUCUGACGAAGCAACGCCGCGUGAACGAUGAAGGCUUUCGGGUCGUAAAGUUCUGUUGUUAGGGAAGAACAAGUACCAGAGUAACUGCUGGUACCUUGACGGUACCUAACCAGAAAGCCGCGGCUAACUUCGUGCCAGCCGCCGCGGUAAAAC